UUUAGGCAUUGCGGAUGCGGGAUGUUCCACUGUUUUUUACUUUGACUGUUUCAAUGCACGUAGCCACAGUUUCGGCCACGAUCCGCAAUUAUUUUGUCUGUGUGUUUCGGCAGAGAAAGAUGUGUCCUAAGAGUGUUCCAUCAUUUCUGGAAGCUUGCGAUUUGGCACAUUUAUCUUCAACAUUUGCUGAACAAAAAAUAGAUGACAUAGCUCUUUUAGAAUUAAUAACGGAAGAGGAACUUAAGGAAUUAAUUCCUUUUUUAGAAGAUAGAAAAAAAUUCAAGAUAGCUUUACAAAAACAUUUUUCCAAAAAUACCUUCGGAAAAUAUUGAACAUAUUGAUAAUAUUGAAAUAAUUGAACUGCAACAAAUAGAGCCUCCGGCAAAAAAACCAAAACUUGUAUCUCUAACAAAACCUUCUACAUCACAGACACUAUCUUGUAAUGAAAAAAGACUUUAGAUACAGUUGAAAAUAAAGCAAAAGAAAGUAAUAUGACUGA